UUGGCGUCUGCCAUUUUGUUUCCUGUUUGGAGUAUUAUCUGCCUGCCUGCCUGCCUGCCUGCCUGCCUGCCUGUUACCGGUGACUAUCUUGCUGCCUGUCUCCCUACCAGCCUGCCUGCCAACCUGUGUACCUGCCAUGUGCGGUGACCUCGUCAGGCUGCCUCUCCUCGGGUCUGGAUAAAUCCAACAUGGUCGCAGGACUCGCAGCCGGGCAAGAGGUGGCGUGACGGCGUGGGCGUGUCGGAUACCGGUCACAGUGGAGUAAAGGCUUUGAGCUGCAGCGCUCUGACCCAGACUGACACAGCAAUGUGAUCUGAGGUGACAGACUGAGAAUUCCUCACAUUGUUAUGUUCAUCUGAGGCCAAACAGGAGGAAGCACCUCUCCGGCCUCCGGACAGAGAAGGACUCGACACUUUCACUCCACCGUCUUCACCAUUAAGCAUUAAUCAGCGUAUAGACAGCCGGCUCUGGCCCUGCACCAGCACUUUAGGGCGUUUUCUAUCAGUGCCAUUCCAGGCAGAUGGUGGAGUAAGUGUGAUUGGCAGGAGAAGUGGAAGAAGCAGCGACGGAGCGGAUACUGUU